UACGGCGCUAGCUAGCGUUGUUCGGAAUUACUGGGCGUAAAGCGCACGUAGGCGGCCGUUCAAGUCAGAGGUGAAAGCCCGGGGCUCAACCCCGGAAUAGCCUUUGAAACUAGAUGGCUUGAAUCUUGGAGAGGUCAGUGGAAUUCCGAGUGUAGAGGUGAAAUUCGUAGAUAUUCGGAAGAACACCAGUGGCGAAGGCGACUGACUGGACAAGUAUUGACGCUGAGGUGCGAAAGCGUGGGGAGCAAACAGG
rnacentral:rRNA from 1 species